rnacentral:lncRNA from 1 species
UCUCUCUUAACUGAAAAUAUUCUCUUGCUUCAUAUUGUCGUUUUCAGAUUUUCCUAUCUUUACUCCUGAUGUUAAAGAUGGGAUCACUUACCUGAUGUUGUGGGGAGUGGAAUGGGGUUGGUUCUAGGUAUAGAAUAGAGAAAUGAGUAUGUUAUACGUGAUUAAAAGAAAAGCUAUGUGACAAAAAUAGUCAUAUACAUGCAAUGUUGCAAGUGUGGAAAGUACAAUUUGUAGUUAUAGUUGUGCCAUAUUUAUCAUGUGGGAAGCCUUCUGCGACUUUUCUACAGUGUUUUGAACCUUGAAAAAUCAUGCAAAUAUCUUGCACUGCUUGCCAUCUCUUCUGAGUCCUGCAAAACUAUAGCUUUUUGCCAUGAAUGCUUGUGGAGCAACGGAAAUUUUCCUAUUCAAAAGAAGAUCUUUGCAGGGCAAGCCCAACCAUUGAGUGAGUCCAGAGUAGCAUUGUUGGCUUUAUUCUCUAUGGUCUAGGGGCAAGGAAGCCCGCAAGGAUGUUAGUCAACUAGCACUCACAAGAAGGCACAGAUGGGAUGAGUUCACUGGGGUCUCCCUUUCUAGAUGUCCAACGAGCCCUUUUUCUUUUGAUUUGGAAGAUAGUUUUGUGAUCGAUGCGAAGCUGAUAAGAAGUGAAAGUGUGAUUUCCCCCAUGGUUGGGGGCACGAGUUAAGCAUCGAUUCGAAUACUUUUUGGAAUUAAGAGCUCUAAAUUCCCCUUACUUUAGGGCGGCACCUUUUAUUAUUUAUUUUUGGAUUUAAUAAAUAAAUUUGUAUUGAUAAAAAAUGGAUACAACUACUCCGAACAUACCCUUUAGGAUGGCACCUUUAUUCUUAUUGGUCUGUCAGCUCGGCACGAGACUAUUGAUGUCACUGCCUAAAUCAAAUAAAUAGAAUUAUUGGGUAAACAUCUCAAAGGCUCGAUACGCAUAGUUCUAUCACAUUCGAGUUUACCCCUUGCACUUCAAACAGCCCUUUUCAAUUUGAGUUGGGAAAGAAUGCCGAAGUCCAUCCGAGAGGCGUUGCAGCAGUGAGAUGAACCCCAAGAUCAUAUAGAAGCCUGUGAAACCAAACCACCUUGUGAACACGUUUGGAUCUGCGAAGACAAUUGCUCGAAGUUGACCAACAUUCACAAGAAGGCACUGAUGAAAUGAGUUUCUUGAUUGGCUAGGAGUGCAGUUGGAUUCUGCUCCUUUGUGGGGGUCUCCCUUUCUGGAUGGAGAGUAUAGCCCUAAUGCUCCAUUCGAAUUUGCUGUUGAGGGUAACGAAAAGCUAAAUUCUAGGCUGGUUGGUGAUAGGCAUGAAGUGAAGGAUUUUCCUAUGCAAACUGAGCCGGGUCCCCUAAUGAUCGAAGGGGGAGAUUUUUUUAUUUGGCAUGUCACUAUUUCUUUUUAUGAAAAUGUUUAUAUUAUCCUUAAUGAAAUUAUUCUUUCUAUAUUGCAA